rnacentral:tmRNA from 1 species
GGGGUUGUCUUGGAUUCGACAGGUUUAUGUUUGAUUUAAAUUGCAGUGGAGUGGUGACCUAAUUACCAAAACAAAAUAAACGGAAACAAUAGAUUAGCAUUUGCUGCUUAAUAGUCCCAAAUAGAGGAUUGCAGCUUCCUACUAUUAUUUUGUCAUUAGGAUAUUAGUAGAGUAUAAAUAAUGAAUAAGGCAAAGCCAAGCUUGGUGGUGUAGCCCGACAAUCUUUACAAGCAAAUUCGGUUAUUGUUGGCUUGCUUCGUUUAAUCGUCUUAUUAAUAGCAAGAUAAACUGUAGACAUUUAAAUGUGGAACAACUCUUGGACAGGGGUUCGAUCCCCCUCAACUCCACCA